AUUGAACGCUGGCGGCAUGCCUUACACAUGCAAGUCGAACGGUAACGCGGGGCAACCUGGCGACGAGUGGCGAACGGGUGAGUAAUGUAUCGGAACGUGCCCAGUUGUGGGGGAUAACUGCUCGAAAGAGCAGCUAAUACCGCAUACGACCUGAGGGUGAAAGCGGGGGAUCGCAAGACCUCGCGCAAUUGGAGCGGCCGAUAUCAGAUUAGGUAGUUGGUGAGGUAAAGGCUCACCAAGCUGACGAUCUGUAGCUGGUCUGAGAGGACGACCAGCCACACUGGGACUGAGACACGGCCCAGACUCCUACGGGAGGCAGCAGUGGGGAAUUUUGGACAAUGGACGCAAGUCUGAUCCAGCCAUGCCGCGUGCGGGAAGAAGGCCUUCGGGUUGUAAACCGCUUUUGUCAGGGAAGAAACGCUCCGGGUUAAUACCUCGGGGUAAUGACGGUACCUGAAGAAUAAGCACCGGCUAACUACGUGCCAGCAGCCGCAGUAACAC
rnacentral:rRNA from 1 species